CUCAAAGCUUAGCCGCUUGCAGUGGUGGUGGUUAGGCAUAAUUGGCUUGCAAAUUUCAUUCUUUCCCUUUUUUUUUUAACUCUUCACUUUUGAACUGUCCUUGAGAAAUGGAGGCAAUGAGAGCUUUUGAGGAUAACAAUCUCUAGGUGUUCGGACAUUGAAAACAAACUUAAAACCUGGUGAAAGAAAGUGGUGGACAGACAAGUCGCUAGUGUGGUGGACAUCUGUUGACGACGUGUCUGAAAAUUAAGGGUCUCUUGCUGAACCUGGAACUCCCUAGUUUGCUAGAUUGGCUGACAAGAAAUUCCCUGGGAUACACCUGGCCCUGCCUCCCAGAAGUGAUAAGUGUCACCUCAUCAAGGAAACUUCCCUUUGCAGCAUCCAGAGACCAUUACAGAAAACCACAAUGAAUCAAAUAUCAGAGUUGUGGCAUCCAGUGCCAAUGGAUGCAUCUACAGUUCAACUCCUGCGUCUAAAGUCCGGGGAUCACUGCAGAGAAGGGGGAGAAAGGUGGCAAGAGCCUGAGGAAAGGGAGUCUUCUGUGAGAUUAUGCAUCUAGCAAUGUCAAAAGGACAGUUGUCCAAAACACCUUUUCUGUGUUUUAUCUUUUCCUUUUGAAAAUAAAUCUUUGAGACA